rnacentral:rRNA from 1 species
AUUGAACGCUGGCGGCAGGCCUAACACAUGCAAGUCGAACGGUAACAGGAAGACGCUUGCUUCUUUGCUGACGAGUGGCGGACGGGUGAGUAAUGUCUGUGAAACUGCCUGAUGGAGGGGGAUAACUACUGGAAACGGUAGCUAAUACCGCAUAACGUCGCAAGACCAAAGAGGGGGACCUUCGGGCCUCUUGCCAUCGGAUGUGCCCAGAUGGGAUUAGCUAGUAGGUGGGGUAACGGCUCACCUAGGCGACGAUCCCUAGCUGGUCUGAGAGGAUGACCAGCCACACUGGAACUGAGACACGGUCCAGACUCCUACGGGAGGCAGCAGUGGGGAAUAUUGCACAAUGGGCGCAAGCCUGAUGCAGCCAUGCCGCGUGUAUGAAGAAGGCCUGCGGGUUGUAAAGUACUUUCAGCGGGGAGGAAGGGAGUAAAGUUAAUACCUUUGCUCAUUGACGUUACCCGCAGAAGAAGCACCGGCUAACUCCGU